UACGUAGGGUGCGAGCGUUGUCCGGAAUUAUUGGGCGUAAAGGGCUCGUAGGCGGUUUGUCACGUCGGGAGUGAAAACUCGGGGCUUAACCCCGAGCCUGCUUCCGAUACGGGCUGACUAGAGGUAUGCAGGGGAGAACGGAAUUCCUGGUGUAGCGGUGAAAUGCGCAGAUAUCAGGAAGAACACCCGUGGCUAAGGCGGCUCUCUAGUACGGUACUGACGCUGAGACGCGAAAGCGUGGGGAGCGAACAGG
rnacentral:rRNA from 1 species